rnacentral:lncRNA from 1 species
AUUCUCAGAUGCCUUUCUCCCAAGAAACGUUCAUACCCUGGCAGCCUCCUUCAAGGAAUCGACUGUUCUGGGUCUGCAGGGUCUCCCCUCCUCUCCUGACCCUCUCCUCUCAGUCACACAGUCCUCUGAGGUUUUUAUCAGGAAUGGAGCUGCAGCAGGAACCGUACGUGCUUGCACGGUGCAGGGCAACAGCUGACGCAAGAGGACUUGGUGUGCUUUGAAUGAGAUGCAAAUUGAAAGGGGAGUGAAGAAGUCACAGAUGACUAGAAUGACUAGGGUUUCAAGACUGGAUGUCAGGAAUACGGAGGUUUUGAGGUGAUCUGGUUUGGUUUUGUAUGCUCCGCUGCUAGAAUCGUAGCUCUGAUUGCUCACCACACACCAGGCCUGGCUCCUGGCCGCUCCCCGGAGUUCAGUGCACGUGGAGCUGACGCAUGGAUUUGUCCCCUACAUGCCCGACUGGUUUUAAUGAGACAACAAGUCUGUAGCAAAACUUGACUCUUUCAGGGUUUGCCGAAGAGACAAAAAUGGC